rnacentral:rRNA from 1 species
UACGGAGGGUGCGAGCGUUGUCCGGAAUCACUGGGCGUAAAGCGCACGUAGGCGGCGACUCAAGUCAGAGGUGAAAGCCCGGGGCUCAACCCCGGAACUGCCUUUGAAACUAGGUUGCUAGAAUCUUGGAGAGGCGAGUGGAAUUCCGAGUGUAGAGGUGAAAUUCGUAGAUAUUCGGAAGAACACCAGUGGCGAAGGCGACUCGCUGGACAAGUAUUGACGCUGAGGUGCGAAAGCGUGGGGAGCAAACAGG